GUUCAACCCCAAACAUCAGCUCUAGAGCCCUGCAGAAUUCCCAGGAAUGUUUGGCAUCACUGCCCUCCAUUUUGAUAAGGUUCUAUAACAUUCUAUGCAUAUCGCCAUGGUAACACUUACUACAUUUUAAAAUUUCACGUGCUCUUCCCCACCGCUGUGUUCAUCAAUGUGUUAUUAAGACCCUGAAUGCCCUAAGGACUACAUCCACAGACUGCUUUGCUCUCUGGCUUCUGGUUGGAUUUGACCAGUGAGAUAUACCACAGGAGACAGGGGAAGGAGGAUACAGGACAUAAAAUGCAGCAGUGAGCCAUUCAGUGGAUUUACAACAGGGAUCGUGUCCUGAA
rnacentral:lncRNA from 1 species